GGAGGGCUAUGGCUCAGUGGUGGAGCAUCUGCCUGCCAUGCAAAAGGUCCUGAGUUCAACUCCUGGCAUCUCCA
rnacentral:tRNA from 1 species